UACGUAGGCAGCAAGCGUUUGUUCGGAGUUACUGGGCGUAAAGAGUAUGUAGGCGGUUUGCGUAAGUUCGGUGUGAAAUCUCCCGGCUUAACUGGGAGGGUGCGCCGAAAACUGCGUGGCUUGAGUGCGGGAGAGGAGAGCGGAAUUCCUGGUGUAGCGGUGAAAUGCGUAGAUAUCGGGGAGGAACACCUGUGGCGAAAAGCGGCUCACUGGACCACAACUGACGCUGAGGCGCGAAAGCUAGGGGAGCAAACAGG
rnacentral:rRNA from 1 species